UAUAUGUUACACAGACGGGUCAAAACAAGAGAACAAAACUGCAAAUGGAAUAGGAAUUUAUCUCAAUCUACCACAAGGAAUACCCAUAGAAACUGGUACAGCAUUCACAAAGAAGCAACAAUCUACACCACAGAAGCCAUAGGUAUAUUUAAAGCCAUAGAAUUAACCAAACAUAUGAACUACAAAAAUAUUUUAAUAUUAACUGACUCCCUAUCAGCACUUACAGGCCUUGAAAGCAGAAUAGAAAAACUUGACGAUACAGAUAAAAGCAGCAAUAAUGCAUGGAUUCUAAAGAUUUACAAGACACUGAUAAACCAGAAAAAUAGAGAAAAGAUAGUACUGAUCUGGGUCCCAGGACAUCAAGGAAUUCCAGGGAAUGAAAAAGCAGACUCCCUUGCUAAAGAAUAUACCAACAAGUUACCAGAGGAAGACAUACCGAUAUCGAGACUAGACUAUUUGGUACAACAAAAACAUAUAAUCUGGGAUACUUUUAGCGAUAGAGUGGAGGAAAUUGGUAGAAGCAAAGGGGCAUAUUACUUUUCAAAUUUUUGGGAACAUAAGAAAAAAGUCAAAUUUAAACCUUGGUUUCAAAAGUUCGGAAACAUAUUAGACAGACAUGCUAUUAGGUCAAUCUCGAGACUAAGAUCAAAUCAUUUCAACUUAAAAGAAUCACUAGGUAGGAAAGGUAUAAUAGACAACAAAAUAUGUGAUUGUAAAAUGGAAGAAGAAUCAAUAGAUCAUGUCCUUUUUAGAUGUCCAUUCAGAAUCAUUCCGCGUUUAAAAAUGUUUGGUAAAAUAGGUACCUUAAUAAUUAAUAACAAUUAUAAUGUAGCGCAAAUUAUAAAUAGCGAAAAGAUCUCGGCGUUAAAAGCAAUAAUAGCUUUCCUAAAAGAAGCAAACAUCGUAUUAUGAGUAUUAUUAGUUCGAUAAAUCCUGCUAACACGGGACAACGAGAUGUAACUUAUUCUAAGUUAGGUAAUUUUUCUAACCAAACAAAUGUAUUCUUUUAUAAGUAUAAAAGAAUAAAAGAAUAGGGAGAAUAGGAAAACAACAAAGAGACUGUAAGUAAGACUGAGGCCAUUUUGGUCAAUAUAGAUAUAAAACGAAAACCAAAUACUCUAAAAGUAUUCCUAUUUUUCGAAUUCAAAAAAAAAAAAAAACAACAACGAAUAAAGGUAUCAAGCGAUUUGUGAUAUGGUAAACUUCCCUCGAAGCGAACUGAACUAGAAUAAGGAGCAGGUAGAAUAACAUAGUUCUAAUAAGAAAAAACUAAAAUAUAUAUAAUAUAUUUGUUAAGACUACAAAAGCUCAUAAUUGUAAGUUAGGAAAAAUAAUACAUAUAUAAUUGUUGAUUUUUACCCACAAAACCUCAAAAUGUAUACAAAUAGACACUAAGUAAUCAGUCACAUGUAUAAAAACGCUUAUAUUAGAUUGUAAUAUAGUAGACUAAGUUCACUUUGUUAACAGAGAGAAUGUAAAAGAGAAGUUAUGUACAACGGAAAUGUGUUAAUAACAAUAUUUUUGUUACACAAUAAAGAAAUAUACAAAUACAAAUACAAAUACCUUACCGCGAUGUACGAAAGUGCAACCGUUUUCCAGAUUCAGAAGUUGCAGCUACGGAUCGCAUACGAUCCUCGGUACAUAUUACCACCCACCGGUGGGUGGACAGGUCUAAUAAGACUUUGCACCUUUUGCACCGUAGCGUCAGCAAAGGAACCGCCGACAGUGGCUAUCGUUGGUGUCAGCCACCGAAAACAGAUAAGACGAAACCUAAACACCUAGGAAGGUGAAAUGCCAUGAGAACAAAUCAACCACCACCCAUGGAAUUUGUAAUAAUCACGUGGUAUGAUUUUUUCUCCUACCUUCGGACCAAAGUCUGUAGGUAGUUGUUCGGUAUCUUUGCUCGAACAGAAUUUUGUCGAGUUGACAGAAUUAACGUAAGACAUUUCCCACUUCGCAGACGAAGCAAAUACCGAUGUCUAAAGGAAACAAAGAUUUUUAUGUGAAACUGGUGAAUCACAAGAAAGUUAAGAAGUCUCGCAGUUCGAAACAGACGAAGCACGAAGCUUUAUAACAUAUUCAUCGCACGUAUGUCAGCGGUGGCUCUAUAUAUUCCCAUCUUCGGAGAACAAUUUGGACGCCAAAAUUUCCAGGCGGUUACGUCUCUCCGCACCACGUCGCUCUCCGUGGUGGCCAACAUUGUCAGAGAGACAGAAGAGAGAGAGACAGGCGAAUCGUGUUGACGUAUAUCGAUCUUUUUGGAAUCCAGACAGUCCUCGAUAAUUCGCUAGGACAGUAAUUUUAUAUUAUGCGCCGCCUCCGAAAAAUGUGCAUUGUAUUUAAUAUAAUGUAUUGAAUAAUUUAACCAAAUUCAUCAAACGACGGUGAAUAACAAUGAAGUUUAAAUAGAAAUUAUAUCACUUUUCACUGCAUUUUCCCAUACUUUUAGGCAAUUAUAUCUAGAGCUAGUGCGUAUUCAUAUAAAUUAACUAGAAAUUAUUUCAUGCUUUUCACUGCACUUUUUUCGAAGUCGGUUAAAUUUUUUUCCAAAAAAUUAUUUUUUGUCACUCUUUUUAGUGGCAAUCUAUAACCAAUAGGUUUCAUGCAAUAACAAUAGUUAUGAGCAAUAUACAGGAUGACCCAAAAACGUUGGAGGUCCUUGAAAAGGGUUGUUCCGCGGGUGGGGGAGGGGGGGUUGAAACCAUUUUUCUUAGCGAAAAUGUUGCUCGAGGUUUCGUUAAGGAGAUAUUCCAGAAACAGAAACUCCCGACCAAUCAGAGUGCGAGUAUGCCGGAGGAGCGCCUCCGGAGCCUAUGCUAUCGCAUGCGCUCCACCGGCUUACUCGCGCUCUGAUUGCUCGGGGGUUUCUGUCAGUAUCUCCUUAACAAAGCCUCGAACAACAUUUUCGUUAAGAAAAAAUUGUUUCAAAUCACCGCCAACCCCGAAACACCCCAUUCAAGGACAUCCAACAUUUUUUCGACACCCUGUAUAAUUGCAAAUGGGAUUAUCAGGAAUACAUGUGAAAGGAUUGAUUGCGUUUGGUAAAUUCCUUAUUGAACUACACCAGAGCAUAGCAAUUUUGCACCAACAAUGAUUUUAAACAAUGAAAGUGUCCAUAAAUUUCUGCAAAUGGGAACAUCACGAAUUCAUCUAUUAUAAAAUGAGGAAAGUUCCAUCGCGCUUGGUAAUUUCCUCACCGAGUUACAUCAUAUAAUAGGAAUUUUGCGAUAACAAUAGUUAUGAACAAUACAGAAAUUCAAAAAGUUUUGCAUCUGUGAUCAUUGCGAAAACCUCUCCGCCAGCAAAAUGUAAGGGGUUUCAUCGAUUUCAGGCCAAACAUACGUGAAAUAGUACGCUUUUUGCGAUAAAAUGUGAUAUAAAGUGGUAAAAAAUAAGACAAACACAAAUGUUUUGUUAUGAGACCAAAUGGCAAAUGUUCUUCCAGAUGCAAGAAGUUUCAAUCUGAUUGGUCCAUCCUUCUCGGAGUAAGAAGCAAGACAAAACUUUUCUGUUUAAAAAAAAACGGGUAAAAAAUGACAAAUCACAAAAUGUUUCUUUUACGCGACCAACUGGAAGAAAUAUUCGACAAGAUGCAAGAGGUUUCACUCUGAAUCAUCAAGCCAUCUCGGCGUAAUAGGUUUUUUGAAACUUUUUACCCUGCAACACACAAGUAAAUCAACUCCACACUACACUUCAAGGACCAAGGAGCAAAGCGGGUUAUAAGGGUAUCUCCCUAAGCACCGCAGCAUUACUCAAGAGAAACCAACAGAAAAGAAAAGAAAAAAGACAGCGAACGCGGCAUUCUUUGCUGCACUCUUUAGGAGAGAACGAGAUAAUUACCACAGUCGCCUAG